UGCCGGCGAGCGGCGGACGGGUGAGUAAAGUCUGGGGAUCUGGCUUAUGGAGGGGGAUAACCAUUGGAAACGGUGGCUAAUACCGCAUGAUGUCGCAAGACCAAAGUGGGGGACUUUAGAGCCUCACGCCAUAAGAUGAACCCAGAUGAGAUUAGCUAGUAGGUGUGGUAAUGGCGUACCUAGGCGACGAUCUCUAGCUGGUCUGAGAGGAUGACCAGCCACACUGGAACUGAGAAACGGUCCAGACUCCUACGGGAGGCAGCAGUGGGGAAUAUUGCACAAUGGGCGGAAGCCUGAUGCAGCCAUGCCGCGUGUGUGAAGAAGGCCUUAGGGUUGUAAAGCACUUUCAGCGGGGAGGAAGGCGGUAAGAGUAAUAUGCUUAUUGAUUGACGUCACCCGCAAAAGAAGCACCGGCUAACUCCGUGCCAGCAGCCGCGGUAAUACGGAGGGUGCAAGCGUUAAUCGGAAUAACUGGGCGUAAAGGGCAUGUAGGCGGUAAGUUAAGUCAGAUGUGAAAUCCCCGAGCUUAACUUGGGAACGGCAUUUGAGACUGGCUAGCUAGAGUUUUGUAGAGGGGGGUAGAAUUCCAGGUGUAGCGGUGAAAUGCGUAGAGAUCUGGAGGAAUACCGGUGGCGAAGGCGGCCCCCUAGACAAAGACUGACGCUGAGGUGCGAAAGCGUGGGUAGCAAACAGGAUUAGAUACCCUGGUAGUCCAUGCUGUAAACGAUGUCGAUUUGGAGGUUGUGGACUAGUGUUAUGGCGUCUGAAGCUAACGCGAUAAAUCGACCGCCUGGGGAGUACGGCCGCAAGGUUAAAACUCAAAUGAAUUGACGGGGGCCCGCACAAGCGGUGGAGCAUGUGGUUUAAUUCGAUGCAACGCGAAGAACCUUACCUACUCUUGACAUCCACGGAAUUGAGCAGAGAUGCUUAAGUGCCUUCGGGAGCCGUGAGACAGGUGCUGCAUGGCUGUCGUCAGCUCGUGUUGUGAAAUGUUGGGUUAAGUCCCGUAACG
rnacentral:rRNA from 1 species